rnacentral:rRNA from 1 species
AUGGCUAAUCGCCGACAUACCAAGGAAGGAGGAGAUGAUCGGCAAGAGGAGGGAGAGGGCGUCGUCGUCCUCAAGAAGGACGUGCUGGACUGCCCCGUCUGCUCCACCCCCCUCAGCCCUCCCAUCUUCCAGUGCAAACUAGGGCACUUGGUCUGCUCGCCCUGCCGCGACAAGCUCCCGGGGAAGAAGAAGGCCUGCAGCGUGUGCUCUAAGGCCGUCUCCAGACGAUGCCAUGCGAUGGAGCGCGUCGUCGAAUCCAUCGUCGUGCCGUGCUCCAACGCCGCGCACGGCUGCACCGCCAUGAUGGCCGGCGGCGAGAAGGCGGAGCACGAGGAGGCGUGCCCGCACGCGCCAUGCUUCUGCCCGGAGCAAGGCUGCGGCUUCGCUGGCACGACGGAGGCGCUCCUGAACCACUUCGACGCCGAGCACGAGUGGCCGGUCACGGCGUUCAAAUACGCCCAGCCGUUCGACGUGCCCGUGAAGGCCGGCAUGCACGUCCUCCACGGCAGCGAAGAAUACGAAGAAGACGAAGAUGAUGACAGCGACCUCUUCCUGCUCCACGUGGGGCCCCCGGACACCACAAUGCGCGUGGUGUCACUGGUCCGCGUCCAGGCACACGCGCCGGAGUACGAUAUCGGGUGCUCCGCGAGCUUCUCCUGGUUCAGGGGCCAGACCCAGGUCGCGACGCUGGACACGAUCCAAAUCUCAUCGCUCUCUAGCGGGGUGCCCGACUGCCGCUUCUGCAUCGUACCCGAGGCUCCACCCAUGGGCGACGGGCUUGCCUUCCUCAGUGUCACCAUCGAUGUGGAUGUCGAGGAUGACGACGAGCAGGAGGAAGCGGAUGACGAGGAGGAUGAGAGCGAAUGGAUGCGCAGGAUGGCCUGGGUAGAGGUACCUGCCAACGGUGAUGACGAGGAUGAUAAGGCGGAUGAUCACAAUGAUGAUUGA